GCAUAUCAUUAAGUGGAGGAAAAGAAACUAACAAGGAUUCCCUUAGUAAUGGCGAAUGAACCGGGAAAAGCUCAAAUUUAAAAUCUCAAUAUUUUAUAUUGCGAAUUGUAAUUUAGAGAAUAUUAUUCAGUAUUAAAUUUAACUUAAGUUGGCUGGAAAGCCACUACAGAGAGGGUGAUAUACCCGUAACUGGUUAAAUUUUUUAAUACAUUAGAAUUAAUAUUCAAAGAGUCAGGUUGUUUGGGACUGCAGCCUAAAUUAGGAGGUAAAUUUCUUCUAAAGCUAAAUAUUGGCAAGAGACCGAUAGCGAACAAGUACCGUGAGGGAAAGAUGAAAAGAACCUUGAAAAGGGGUUGAAAAGAAAGUGAAAUUGUUAAAAGGGAAACGCUUAAAAAGGGUAAAUGAAUAAUUAAAAAAUAUAAUUUUUUAUACUAAUUUAAUUAUUCUGUGGUUAAUAAAAAUUUAUUAAAAUAAAAAAGAAUUUUAUAAAGGUACAUUGAAUAAUUUUAUUUAAUGACUUAUAGUAUAAAAUUUAAAAUAUUUUAAUAGAUUUUUUUUUUUUAUUAAUUUAUAAACUUUUUAAAGGUUAUAAAUUUAUUGGAUCAUAACUUUUUUAAGCGACCCGUCUUGAAACACGGACCAAGGGAGUCUAACAUUUAUGCAAGUAGGUGAGAUUUUUAAACUCAUAUGCGUAAUGAAAGUGAAUUCAAGGUAGGAUAAUUAACGAAAGUUAAUUUGCACUAUCGACCGAUCUAAUUGGUUUUUAUCAAUAGAAUUGAGUUAGAGCAUAUAUGUUGGGACCCGAAAGAUGGUGAACUAUGCCUGAAUAGGGUGAAGCCAGAGGAAGCUCUGGUGGAGGCUCGUAGCGAUUCUGACGUGCAAAUCGAUCGUCAAAUUGGGUAUAGGGGCGAAAGACUAAUC
rnacentral:rRNA from 1 species